AACGAACGCUGGCGGCAUGCCUAACACAUGCAAGUCGAACGAGACCUUCGGGGCUAGUGGCGCACGGGUGCGUAACGAGUGGGAACUUGCCCUUAGGUUCGGUACAACUCACCGAAAGGGGAGCUAAUACCGGAUAAUGUCAUAGGACCAAAGAUUUAUCGCCUUUGGAUGGGCCCGCGUUGGAUUAGCUAGUUGGUCGGGUAAAAGCCUACCAAGGCGACGAUCCAUAGCUGGUCUGAGCGGAUGAUCAGCCACACUGGGACUGAGACACGGCCCAGACUCCUACGGGAGGCAGCAAUGGGGAAUAUUGGACAAUGGGCGAGAGCCUGAUCCAGCAAUGCCGCGUGAGUGAUGAAGGCCUUAGGGUUGUAAAGCACUGUUACCCGGGAUGAUAAUGACAGUACCGGGAGAAUAAGCUCCGGCUAACUCCGUG
rnacentral:rRNA from 1 species